ACAUAUAUAUCUAACCAAAAAUAUUUCACAAUAAUAUACUAACAUUUGAAAUCUGGAAGCAGACUGUGGAUAUUUACGCUAUCCAUAUGUUAUCCGGCA